AGGAUGUUUUGCAUGGUAAUUGACAACUGCUUAAAUAGAUCAUAAAAAGCUUUAAACAAUGUAAAUCAAGUAAUAAUAAAUGUUAUUAUCACUUAUAUUAGUUUCUUAUAAUCUCUAUAAUGUUAUUAUUGGUAUAUAAAUCCUUAAAUAAUAGCAGACAGCUUCAUAGCUCAUAAGAAUUUGUUAAAUAUAAAGACAAUUUUUAACAUGUCAUGGCACAGCAUUUAGAUGAGACCCAUGAGGUACUCUGCAGAAACACACUGUAUUGCCAUUUCACUGAUCUAAGGUGGCAGAUGAAAGUCUUGUCACCCGCAGUACCACCUCAUGUCAAAGUGAAUGCAGUUAGAGAGAUGGAGUAUGGCAAUCUUCAAUGUAAAUAAUGUUUUGCCUUUCUGAAGGAGCCCAUUUGCAGUCUUGAGGCCAUUAGACCUCUGCUCUGGCUUCUUCAGCACUGCAGUUCUGCAAUAGGAUUGGAGAGGCAGUGUGAGAUUGACAAUUGACUUCUUACUUGUGCUGCAAACCUUCCUUUUAUAUUUCUGUAAAACUGAACAAAUGACUGCUACUAAUGUUUUGCUCAUCAACUUGUAAGUGAAGGCCAUUUAAGACAGAAAUGUAGGAUUUAGCUCCAGCUGCUGCUCUAAUGUUGCAGAAAGCUUUUGCUGCAGUUCAUUAAAUUCAACUUCAGGCAGUCACAAAACUGCCAGCUAAUUAUUUUUUUCUUUCCUUGGCUGAGUGGAUCCUGGUGUCACCAAUUUCCUCUCACAAAAUGGAGCUACAGAAUUCUUCGUUGUGAAGAUUGAAGAAACAAAGCAGUAAGGAAGACACCAACACCAUUUGUUAAAAACAGAACUCAGAAAAGAUGCCCGUUUACAAAAGGAUGUAGAGAUGCUUCACCAGAAUGUCCCCAUGGGAAAUGGCCCUCCACAGCCAGGAGCACUGCCCAAAUGAAGGUUUUAGGUGGGAAUUCAAGACCAAUGCUUCUGUGGUUUUUCUGUGGAUUCCAGCAGGAGAAAAUGUAGGUAGGAAUUGUGAAAAUCCUGAAAUGCCUUGAAAAUAAGAGUUGUGUUCUCUCAAAAUUGUAUUUAAAUCUUUUAAGGGUUAGCUUGGAAAGGUUACUGGGGAGGUAAUAGCUACUGAAACA